rnacentral:rRNA from 1 species
AUUGAACGCUGGCGGCAUGCCUUACACAUGCAAGUCGAACGGUGACAGGUCUUCGGAUGCUGACGAGUGGCGAACGGGUGAGUAAUACAUCGGAACGUGCCCGAUCGUGGGGGAUAACGAAGCGAAAGCUUUGCUAAUACCGCAUAAGAUCUACGGAUGAAAGCAGGGGACCGCAAGGCCUUGCGCGAACGGAGCGGCCGAUGGCAGAUUAGGUAGUUGGUGGGAUAAAAGCUUACCAAGCCGACGAUCUGUAGCUGGUCUGGGAGGACGACCAGCCACACUGGGACUGAGACACGGCCCAGACUCCUACGGGAGGCAGCAGUGGGGAAUUUUGGACAAUGGGCGAAAGCCUGAUCCAGCCAUGCCGCGUGCAGGAUGAAGGCCUUCGGGUUGUAAACUGCUUUUGUGCGGAACGAAAAGACUCUGGUUAAUACCUGGGGUCCAUGACGGUACCGUAAGAAUAAGCACCGGCUAACUACGUGCCAGCAGCCGCGGUAA